rnacentral:lncRNA from 1 species
UUUGAGAAUCAAACAAACGGAGAUACGGAGCAUGGAAAAUAAAACCUUCUCCCUUUCCCUGCAGGCCCUCCCUUUCCCACGUUUGGGCUUUUGCACUUCAGCAGAACAGCACAGGUCAAGUGUGUUUUACUGGGAAAACAGUGGGAAGGAGCAAAAUGUGGGAGCCUGGAGCAAGGAGGGUUUCCCUGGCAUUUCAUUCCAGGGUGAUUUAUAGGAUAUAAAGGCACCUGAGUUAUGACAGAUGAAUGGACUUGGAUAAAGAGACCCUCUU